GAUGAACGCUAGCGGCAGGCCUAACACAUGCAAGUCGAGGGGUAGAAGGAGCUUGCUCCUUUGAGACCGGCGCACGGGUGCGUAACGCGUAUGCAAUCUACCUUGUACAGGGGAAUAGCCCAGAGAAAUUUGGAUUAAUGCCCCAUAGUAUAUAACCUUCGCAUGUUGGUUAUAUUAAAGUUCCAACGGUACAAGAUGAGCAUGCGUCCCAUUAGUUAGUUGGUAAGGUAACGGCUUACCAAGACGAUGAUGGGUAGGGGUCCUGAGAGGGAGAUCCCCCACACUGGUACUGAGACACGGACCAGACUCCUACGGGAGGCAGCAGUGAGGAAUAUUGGUCAAUGGUCGCAAGACUGAACCAGCCAUGCCGCGUGCAGGAAGACGGUCCUAUCGGAUUGUAAACUGCUUUUUAUACAGGAAGAAACCCUCCACGUGUGGGAGCUUGACGGUACUGUAGGAAUAAGGAUCGGCUAACUCCGUGCCAGCAGCCGCGGUAAUGUCG
rnacentral:rRNA from 1 species